CUCCUUUCCUUCCCUCCUUUGUUGUAGUUCUCAAGUUUUUGGAAUUCUGGUUGGCUUCUUGGUAAGAAUGUCUUGUAAGUUCUUGAUUGGAAUACACGAAAUCUUGAUUGCAUUCUUGGUGACAAUAUCUUGAAAUUUUAUAUUUUCAAGUCAGCAUUCUUGACCUAGAGUCAUUCCUGGAAUUAGGUGUGGAAAAGCUUCCCUUAGAAAGAAGAUGUUAGCUUAAGUAACUGUGGAUGAAGUGUUCCAGAAAUUAUAAACUAUGUCGGUGGAUUAAUUAUCCGAAACUUCUUUCUAGAUUAUGGGUUUGGCUCUGGGAUCUUGAUCAAAUUCUUGCCCUGUUUCAAUAUUCUUGCGAGCACUGUUAUUGGGUGUUCUAAACCUAUGGGAUGACAAUAAAUGAGUUUCGGAUAGGUUUGAUUCAGAAAUAUAUAAGCACUGUCUGUAUCUGUGCCAAUGACCAAUCUGAUAUGGGUUGACAGAGGCCAAGAUUGUGACUCCGAAACAUGGAGGCUCUACACAGAGCUACUGGUACCGUGUUUAUGAUAUAUAGUCUCCUUGGGUAUUAACUGGUACUUUGAAGUAGAGUGGUCAUAUGUUGUAUCAGUUUGUUCUGGUUUGUGUCUAAUACCCAUAAUAGUAAUAAUAAAAACAAAAAUAUUAGCAAUAACAAUAACCUAUAAGCUCAUACUUAUAACUUGUUAGCAAACUGUUGGAGCGAAAGGAUCAUAUGAAAACCAUGAGAAAGUUGACUGAGCAAUGAUCUAUAAGCAUCAUUCAGACUACCAACCAAUACGUAAUGAACUUCACCAAUUUUUGGGUAAAUCAUGCAUUAGCUAUGUGAUUUAGAAUACCAACUAUUAAAAGAGGAUUUAGUUUUGAGAUUCUAAUGUCAAUGUGUUCAACUUUAAGCUGUUGCUUUUACCAAGUUGUUUUGAGGUUGAAACUCUAAAUUUUAACAAACUGCCAUUUUGUUUGUUCUUAAAUAUUAAAAGAGUGAUAAGUCUUUUUUUUCUCCUGGUUGCCUAUUGGCAAAUGAGUAAGGAUUAUCCAUAAGAUAUUUGCAUUUGAAUACAAACUCAUCUUCAGGUGGUGUUAUUCUUUUAAUAUAACAUCAUAGUUGGGUUUUGCAUAAAAGAUGUGUUUUUCUAUGAUCAAUUUUUUUGGAGUAAUAUAGUUGUUAAAUCAAAAGUAUCCAAGAAUUUUAUUUUCUAAAGUGGUGCUUCUUAACAUUUAUGAGAAUUUUGAUGCAUUAUCUAUUAAAAUGAUACUAUGUUGUGUUCCCCUUACAAUGUUUUUGUUACUUUGAUGGAGAACAUGGAAAAGAGUGAAGUUGGCUUCUACUUUGGACCACAUUGGUUCACCAGUUGUGGCUGGAGAAGAUGAAAGGAUUGCAGAAUGCUGGAAAGGAUUUGGAGCAGAUGUGAUACUGACAUCCAGAUCUUGCCAAAAUGGAACUGAAUGCUGUUAUGAAGCUCUCUAAAAGCUCAAAAGAAACUAUGACAUUGUUGUGAACACUCAAGGAGAUGAUUCCCUUGUUGAGCCACAGAUAAUAGACAGUGUGGUACAAGCUUUGCAGGGGUAGUUAUAGUAUUUACUAAUUAAUUGCUUGCAGAAUUCAGCUUUUUCUACUGUUUGGUUCAACAAACAAUGUGGUUACUCUAUGUGACUAUGCAGUCUUGUGCUUAUUUAAUUACAAUACGAACUGUAGAGAGCUGCUGAUGCAGUGUUCGUCCUGCUGUCACAUCUUUAAAAGCUGAAGAUGGACCAGACCCCAACCUGGUGAAGUAUAUCAUGGACACAUGGUUAUGCGAUUUAUUUCUCUAGAGGAUUGGUUCCUUAUAUCAAGUGAGUUGUGGUACAUGCCAGUUUGUAGAAUUGUAAAGUUGGUUUAUCCUAAUCCAUGAAUCGAUAUUUUCUAACAUGCUCAUAUAUUAUAUAGGUCAGGGCAAGUUAAUUCACAGUUUCCAUAUCUACAUCUGGGCAUUCAGAUUUGUGACUUACUGCUCUCUUGGGUUUGGUGUUAUGUAAUGUCUUGUCAUAGCCUUUUUAGGAUGGUAUUCUGGCUGUAUUCUAGGAUAUCUUUUUAAUGUAUGUACUGGUGUUCUUGUUUCUAACCAGAUUAUGAUUCAAAGUUUCUUAGGAUAUAUCCGCAACUUGCAUCCUCUCCAUUGCAACUAGAAGACCUAGAGCAACUGAUAGUUCUUGCGCAUGGAUACAAGAUGAAGGUAAUUUCAAACUAUUUAUGACUCAUUGGAACCAUAUAGAACAAAUGACAUCCGUCAGUGCUUAUUUUUCAGACCUCUUUUUGUAAUCUUGACCUGUGAGCAUUUCCAUCUACUUAUCAGCUUGUAUUUGCUAUGAAAAUUCGAGAUUUCAACUUAUUUGUGUUACAAUGUAAACUUUUUUGGAUUAUUCCAAGCCUCACAAAGUGCUUGAAUUAAACAGGUUUGAGCAAGGACUUUUCCACCUUA